UUAAGCACUGGUUCCCAUACGAUCACUGAAGUUAAGCAACAUCGAGCGGGGUCAGUAUCUAGAUGGGUGACUGCAUGGGAAUGCCAGGAGUCGUCA